rnacentral:rRNA from 1 species
UACGUAGGGUGCGAGCGUUGUCCGGAAUUAUUGGGCGUAAAGAGCUUGUAGGCGGUCUGUCGCGUCUGCUGUGAAAAUCCGGGGCUCAACCCCGGACUUGCAGUGGGUACGGGCAGACUAGAGUGUGGUAGGGGAGACUGGAAUCCUGGUGUAGCGGUGAAAUGCGCAGAUAUCAGGAGGAACACCGAUGGCGAAGGCGGGUCUCUGGGCCGUAAGCUGAC